CCUACGGGUGGCAGCAGUGAGGAAUAUUGGUCAAUGGGCGCGAGCCUGAACCAGCCAUGUCGCGUGAAGGAUGACGGCCCUACGGGUUGUAAACUUCUUUUAUAAGGGAGUAAAGUCAGGCACGUGUGCCUUUUUGUAUGUACUUUAUGAAUAAGGAUCGGCUAACUCCGUGCCAGCAGCCGCGGUAAUACGGAGGAUUCGAGCGUUAUCCGGAUUUAUUGGGUUUAAAGGGUGCGUAGAUGGGUUGUUAAGUUAGUUGUGAAAGUUUGCGGCUCAACCGUAAAAUUGCCAUUGAUACUGGUAGUCUUGAGAAUAGUUGAGGUAGGCGGAAUUCGUGGUGUAGCGGUGAAAUGCUUAGAGAUCACGAAGAACUCCGAUUGCGAAGGCAGCUUACCAAGCUGCCACUGACAUUGAGGCUCGAAAGUGUGGGUAUCAAACAGGAUUAGAUACCCUGGUAGUC
rnacentral:rRNA from 1 species